CAGCCAGGCGCAGUGGCUCACACUUGUAAUCCUAGCACUUUGGGAGGCCGAGGCGGGUGGAUCACCUGAGGUCAGGAGUUCAAGAUCAGCCUAGUCUGGCCAACAGGUGAAACCCCGUCUCUACUAAAAAUACAAAAAAUUAGCUGGGCGUGGUGGCAGGCAUGUUAAUCCCAGCCACUUGGGAGGCUGGGGCAAGAGAAUUGCUUGAACCUGGGAGGCAAAGGUUGCAGUGAGCUGAGAUCAAGCCAUUGCAUUCCAGCCUGGGCAAUAAAAGUGAAAUUCUGUCUCAGAAAACAAAAACCAGACUCAGCAUAUCCUAACUUAAAUAACAUCUUAUGAAAAUAUAUUUCCCAAAUAAAAAAUUUAGUGAGGAAAAUGGCAUUGGUUGCAAUUUUGCAGAUCUUUUAAUAUCUGUCUUCAAAACCGGAGGGAUUCUUGCAUCUGUUCAGUUUGUUGCAGUAGAAGCUGUUUGAUUGAUGUAUAGGAAGAAACUCUGUCUUCACAUAGAUACGCAUUUGGAAAAGAGAGUAUUUGAGAAGCCUUUUCAGAUAAUUGAGUAUUCUUCGAUACUUCACCAAAAUUCAACUAGUGAAAGGUUUUGAGAGAUGAGUUGCAGUGUGGAAUCUGAAACCCUAUCUCUGGCUUCUUCACAUGUAUUACAAUAAGAUCCACUCAUGUACCUGGCACUGUGACUGGACUGUUUACCCAGGCUUGCUUUGGUAACACGAUAGGCUGGUCAUUUGCGAUAUACUCCUUCCCUGAAUUAUGCAAAUCUUCAAAUGUCAACAGGUCUUGAUUAUGCAAAGUAAAAGGUCACGUUAAUAUCAACACGUGUUGCAUCAGGAAAGUCUAAGUACAGGUGCUCCUUGACUUACAUUUGAUAAGCCCAUUGUGAUUUUAAAAUAUUGUAAUCGAAAAUGCAUUAAGUCCACCUAACCUAUUGGACAUCACAGCUUAGCCCAGCCUCCCUGGAACAUGCUCAAAACACUUACAUUAGCUUACAGUUGGGCAAAAUCAUCUAAAACAAAGUUUAUUUUAUAAGACAGCAUUGAAGAUCGUGAGCAGUUUAUUGAACACUGUGCCUUACAUACAUAGAAAUUGCCACCAUUCCGCACUAUUGUAAAGUCAAAACACCGGAAGUGGGACCACUGGAAAUUAGGAACUCUGUAUUGGAAAGCUGCCAAGCUCAUGGUGGUGGAUCCGAGUUUCCAAAAAUUCCAGUUUCACUUGAAGCCUGCAUUUUAUCACUGGCAGCAAACACUCAGCUGCUUUCCCUGAAGCUCACGUCAUCCGUUUCCAAGGAAAUGAUGUCUGUCAGAUACCCACCUCUGAAUUACCAUAGUUUGUUAGUCACUCUUCUAGACAAAAACAAUGUUCCAUGAACAGAAUGGAAAUUCGUGUCUGGAACCAACCACCCAGGGCUUUUGUGGAGAAAUAUGAGCCCUUGUGAGCAGCAGAAUUGCUCCCUGCCUGGGGCACUUGAACACAGGUUAAAAGGGCUGAGAUAUAAUGACAUGGAGCAUUUUACUGCUUCAUUUGUAAGCGAAAGUGUCAUUUGUUUUCCCUCCCCAUGUGCAGUGGUGAAGAAUACAGUGGCCACUGGGGUUUGGUGCCUCUGCCAUUUUCUGCGAGGGCGCAGGCACGCUCACCCACGGCUGCUUUUGCAUCAUGAGAGCAAAUACCAACCCAGUGAACCGAGGAACUAAGUAACGUCUUUGCAUUAUUAUAAAUAUGGUUUUAACCUGAUGGUUAAAAGCUCCUCCCUGGAGGAGCCUCAGGAUCUCCGGGGGGCCAUGGACCGCACUUUGGGGACCACUGAUCUAUCGUUAUCCAAAGUGAAUUAUUUCAGUUUUCAGGGUCCUCCUCAGGUAGCAUUCUGUGAUUUGCAAUAGCGUAAUUGGGAGAAUGCCCAUAACAAGAGAGGCUUUGCGUGGGCCUGAAUAAGGAGGGGCUCCCUUUUUGCUUGAGAGUUAAGCUGGGACUUAAGCAUCCUCCUUUUAUUUUUGGAUCUAAAUUGUAUUCACCUUCCUGCCACAGAUCCUUUGUGAAAUGGGGUAGCCUGUCAGUAUCGAGAAAUUAAAGCGAAGUGCCUGGCACAUGGAAAGAGAGACAGGGUCUCACUCUGUCACGCAGGCUGGAGUGCAGUGGUGCUGAGGCAGGAGAAUGGGUUCUGGAGGCAGAUACCUAAGACUGAUUCUCACUGAUUUCCUAGAGCUGAAUCAAAAGGGAAACCACACCUCUCCACACCCAGAUACAAAGGCAGAGUUCAAAUCGGCAAUUUCCCACUGACAAAGUAUUAAGAGUCUUGCUGUGUUGCCCAGGCUGGAGUGAAGUGGCAUGAUCUUGGCUCACUGCAACCCCCACCUCCCCCUGUUCAAGCAAUUCUCCUGCCUCAGUCUCUUGAGUAGUUGGGAUUACAGGCAUAUGCCACCAAGCCUGUAUGAUUUUUGUAUUUUUAGUAGAGAUGGGGUUUCACCAUGUUGGUGAAAUGCCAGGAUGGGCUCAAUCUCCUGACCUCAUGAUCCACCUGCCUCAGCCUCCUAAAGUGCUGGGAUUACAGGCAUGAGCCACAGCACCCAGCCUUCUAAUGGGUUUAAAAACCCGUUAUAUAAACUCCUUUCCUCAUCUAUAAAAUAUUUCAGGGAACAGAGUGCAUAUGUGGUUUACUUUGCCUGGUAUGCAAAAAGAGAACUCGGAGGAGUUGCUAAUAAAUGAAAAUCCAACUUCCCUUGUCUCAGAGUUUGCUGAUGCUUCCAAAAUCGUUUGAGUGAAAGUCCGCUGAUCACUGUCUUCGGUGAUUCAUGUAUUGCUCACAUGUGGCACGGGCAGAAGUGUUUCCAUCACAGUUUUAAAAUUCCAGGCAAGUUUGGUCAUCGCCUCAUGCUCUUAGCGUUUACCGUCCACACCACAGGUUACUGUCUUGCCAGAUCGCUAAAUUAGCAGACUGAAUAAAAAACAGCGUUCAAAAUGCUAGUUUAGGUAUUAUGAUUACAGCGUGCUUGAAAAUGCUACCCCAACGUGCAGUAAGAUGGCCUCAAAAGUAUAACCUGGGGGAAAUAAGGCAUGUUCUCCAUCGCACAUCAAUUAAAUAUUUCUAUCACUUCUCUACACACUUCUAACUCAUGUAAAAUUGCUUGGAGGUUUGAAAAUGAGCAACACAAGAAGACAUUUCACAGUCUUAGUAUUCCCUGGAAUUAGUUCCCUUUUCUCUCGCAAACAGCUACAGGCGGUUUUUAUUUAUCUAUUUAUUUUGAGAAAUGUCAGCUUUUUUUUUUUUUUUAGUUCUAUUAAAGAGAAGUGAAAGAUAGCUUGCAGCUUUUAUUUAUUUUUUUAGCUUUUAAUUUUUUUUCUGAGAUGGAAUCUUGCUCUGUCACCCAAGCUGGAGUGCAGUGGCGUGAAGUCAGCUCACUGCAACCUCCGCCUCCCAGGUUCAGGUGAUUCUCGUGCCCCAGCCUCUUGAGUAGCUGAGACUAGUCUCAAACCCCUGACCACAACUAAUCUGCCUGCCUCAGCCUCCCAAACUGCGGGCUUACAGGUGUGAGCCACCGCACCUGGCCUCUUGAAGCUUUUAAGUCCCUCUUUAAGCACAUAGAGUGCUGCCAUGUUAUCCAGAAGGAAACUCACACACAUGUAAAGAAUCCAAAUUCUCCCAUCCAGGGAGAAUUGACUUUCUCUUCCCCAAGACUUUAUUGAGGUCUAAUUUAUAUAGAGGGAAACACACACAUUUCAGUGUACAGUCUGAUGACUUCGCACAUUUGUGCACACUGUGUGACUACCACCAGAUGAGGCUGCUCAUCACCUAGCCAGCAUGCUGGUGCUCAUAUGCAGCCAAGACACUUUGUGCCCCUCACCACCCCGGCACAGCCACUGUCAACCGAGAACAGGGGUUCCCCGCUCUUGAACUUCAAAAUAAGUAGAUUCAUGCAGUCUGUGUUCUUUUUUGUCUAUCUGGCCUCUUCCAUCCAGCAUAAUGUUUUAGAGAUAUAUGUACUUUUUUUUUUUUGAGAUGGAGUCUCACUUUGUCACCCAGGCUGGAGUGCAGUGGUGCUGUAAUCUCAGCUCACUGCAACCUCCGCCUCUGGGGUUCAAGUGAUUCUUCUGACUUAACCUCCUAAGAAGCUGGGAUUACAGGUCCCCACCACCAUGCCUGGCUAAUUUUUGUAUUUUUGGUAGAGAUGGGGUUUCACCAUGUUGGCCAGGCUGGUCUCGAACUCCUGACCUCAAGUGAUCUCACCUGGGCCUCCCAAAGUGCUGGGAUUGCAGGCGUGAGCCGCCACACUUGGCCCCAACCCUAAUCUUUUGUUAUGUAGAUGGAUUCUCUGGCCAGUCAGUGUCAUGUUGUCUGUUUCUUUAUUGUACAUGUGAUAGCAAAAAAAAAAAAAAAAAGGAAAGAUGGAGUCUCCAUGUUGGAUAUGCCUGGCCCCAAGGUAGCCCUUUUCUAUUGGCAGAAGUGUUGGCAUUCACCCUUGUAAGCCUUUAGCACAUUUAUUUAUGUUUGCUGAUUUUUCAGGCUGCCUUUUGUUAGAAAAAUAAUUUUGGGGGCUGCUUUUUGUUAGAAGGGAAGACUUAUCAAGGACUCUUUUACUGUCACUGUCUGUCUAAAUAAUUUCUGUCUCCUGUAUCAUUUAUUAAAUGCAGGUUAGAACAUUAAAAAAAAAUUGUUGUGUCUGGGUCAGGCAUGGUGGCUUACACCUGUAAUCCCAGCACUUUGGGAGUCUGAGGCGGGUGGAUCAACUGAGGUCAGGAGUUCAAGACCAGCCUGGCCAACUUGGUGAAAACCCAUCUGUACUGAAAAUACAAACAUUAGCCAGGCAUGGGGGCAGACACCUGCAAUCCCAGCUACUCAGGAGUCUAACGCAGGAAAACUGCUUGAACCCGUGGUGGCGGGGGAGGUGGCAGAGGCUGCAGUGAACUGAGAUCACACCACUUCACUCGAGCUUGGGCAACAGAGUGACACUCUGACUCAAAAAAAAAUUGUGUCUGUUGUAAGAUUUUUUUGUCUUGUAUGUGCUACAGAUGACAAUCAAGAACCGGCUUGAUGGCUGUGGACUCAUUUGUAUUUCUUUUCAAGGUGAGAGGAAGGAAGGACGAUGAUGAAACCUCAAAAAGUUUCCUUCUUCUUGGCCUGGCUCCUGCGGCAUUUACAUAACUAGCUUUCUCUCUGGGGUAAUCUCACUAAAACGACUUUCCAAAUUGCUUUGCAGAGCAGCAAACAUAAAUAUUAACUUCAAGGUUGGAAAGCGCUGCUUUUUUAAAAAAAGAGAGAAUUUAAUGAGAUGCAGAAAUAUGAACUUAGCUCCUCCAUCAAUGCCACCUUUGCUUCUUGAUAUGCUCCCACCUAUGCCCCGUGCCAGGGCUGUGCAUGCAUUUUAAAUUUGGAGAAUAAUUAUGAAAAUCAGAUUACAUAGAGCUGCCCCUAUUAAAGAAAACCAUUUGGUUUGUUUUUGAACUGUGGCUUCUGAAGAGGCCAGUUCCGUAUACUCUUAAUUCAGGACAAGCAGCAAACAUCUCCUGAGCUCGUGCUGUAUGCGCUCGGUGCCCCCGGCUGGGCCCCACACUGUGUGGUCUCCGUAAACCUCUGUUACCCACAAACUUGCCAUGGAGAAUCUGGGCCUGCAGAAGGAGGGGCCAGAGUCCAAUGUAUUUGAACAAACAGAAAUGCUGUUUCUCUGCAUAUAGUAUCCAAACACACAACCUCUGAACAAUACAGGUUGGAAUUGUGCGGGUCCACUUACAUGGGAAUCUUUUUCUUUUCUUUUCUUUUUAAAAUAGAGAUGGAGGUCUUGCUAUGUUGCCCAGGUUGGUCUUGAACUUCCAGCCAGAAGCUAGCCAUCCACAUCGGCCUCCCAGAGUGCUGGGAGAGUCUUUUUCAAUAGAAGUUACUCCAAGCCGGGUGUGGUGGCUCACACCUGUAAUCCCAGCACGUUCGGAUUGGUAGGGUGAUACUCCAUCUCUACUGAAAAUACAAAAAAAAUUAGCCAGGCAUGGUGGUGCACGCCUAUAAUCCCAGCUACGCAGGAGGCUAAGGCAGGAGAAUUGCUUGAGCCCGGGAGGUGGAGGUUGCAGCCAGCCGAAAUCACACCAUUGCACUCUAGCCUGGGUGACAGAGUGAGGCUCCAUCUCAAAAAAAGUUACACCUAGCAUGUCUGCCUCUCCUGCCUCCCCUCCCACUUCCCCUAUCUCUUCCACCUCUGCCACCCCUGAGAUAGCAAGACCAACCCCUCCUGAUCCUCCUGCCUCAGCCUCCCAAGUAGCUGGGAUUACAGAUGUGCACCACCAUGCCCGGCUAAUUUUUGUAUUUUUAGUAGUGAUGGGGUUUUACCAUGUUGGCCAGGCUGGUCUCAAACUCCUGAUCUCAAGCAAUCCACCCACCUCGGCCUCCCAAAGUGAUGGGAUUACA